rnacentral:lncRNA from 10 species
CUACGGAUUGCAAACCUGGCCCUGCCGCAACAGCUUUUCGGUAUUUGCCUAAUCCUCGAGAUACUCCAUGAGGAACAUGUCGUCACCAGCUUCGUUAACGGACACGGGGACUUAGGAAGGGAACACAUAUGACAUCUGAAACCAAAGGAAAACAAUAAAUGUCAUUUCUGAAAGAAAGGAAAUGUUCGCAGAGGGGAACAAAAGCUGGCAGGGCUGCAGAGGCGGUGAGGGAAGGCGGCGGGAGCAGCUGCUCCGAGACGAGUGUUUUGGGAAGAGCUGUGAAAGUGA